ensembl:lncRNA
CUCCAUCUCUAAUUAUAGACUCCAUCUCGAAUUAUUUAUAAAUUACAUUUUAAAUGUCAUGUUGCAGAGCAGUGAAGACACAAAAUGAUUAGAAUCUAUAUUUGCAUAUAUUCUUAUUCAUUAUGGUUAUCUGCAUUCAUCUUGUAUAUAAAAUAUAUCUAAUUUGAAUGGCAGGCAGCAGAACCAUAAAGUAAGUGAACAUUCAGAGACAAGUUUAAUUCAGACGUUUGUAGCAGACAAUAAUGUGACUGUAGGCCCGAAACAAAAGAAUUCAUUUAUUCAUUCAUUCAUUCAUUCAUUCAUUCAUCUUCUAUGAUGGUUACAUCUAGGAUUUCUAAUCAGGCAUCAGACAUAACAACAAAAAGCGGUCUGAGGUCCAGCGAGGGUCACGUUACACACGGUUAGAUUUACUCUGAAAGCAGAAGUGAGUCCAUGUGCAGAGGAAGAACGCAAUGAUUUCAUCAUGAAUACCAGGGUCAAAGUGCAGAGUUAAAGAGCUCACCCUGAGCGUCUGGGUGUUCCUCAUCCCCAAAAUAUCAGACCUGUCUCCAUGUGAGGGAGGGUUUAUGACCCGACAUCUAUCACAGCAUGACAGUGGAUUUGUCACUUGUGGACGGUUCUGAGGAUUGUGUUUAUUUCGCUGGGAAUUCACCGGGUCUCCAGCCGAAAAACACCACAAAAAUACACGGAAGAGGAGCUGGAGAAAUGGGCCACAAUGUGAGUCGUCUGUCUUGAUUCAUCAGCUGAUAAAUGCAGAAUCAGUUUCAGAAAAAUAUAACAUCAAUAUCAAAUAAAAAAUACUGUGAAAAUGUUUCA